UUUACUACUUUUUCCAAUGAGGAGGAUGGACUUGUAAGCUUGCCAUAGGUCUUGAAAGAUGUUAAGCUUGACUUUAAUGAACCUUCAUGACAGUAUGAGUGGUCAGGCUAUGUAUCCACUGAUAUAGGUCUGUACAUCAUCAUGCCAAAGAGUGGAACUGUUUAAUAAUGCUGCAACUCUCCUAUCAACAUUUUGUGUCUCUUCAGCUAGCUUGCUUUCACUUACAACAGAGCAGUUGGCAGUUGCUGGGACUGUCAUGUAUUGAACAAAGAAAUAUCAGUAGUUUACUUAUCCUUGUACGUAAGUGUCAUAAAAUGAACCAACUGAGCAGUAUGAUACAAUUUUUGUCAGAAGUCAUUAGUUGCAUGUUAAUAAUGUGAUGCAAUUUAGACAUUUGCAGUUAUAAAAUUGUAUUGCCAUUGGAAACAACUGGUAUCAUAGAUGGUGUUGUAGCUAUAGCAUAAUAAAAACAUAUACUAUAA